GACGGGGGAUGCAAGUGUUAUCCGGAAUCACUGGGCGUAAAGCGUCCGCAGGUGGCAGUUCAAGUCUGCUGUCAAAGACCGGGGCUUAACUUCGGAAAGGCAGUGGAAACUGAACAGCUAGAGUAUGGUAGGGGCAGAGGGAAUUCCUGGUGUAGCGGUGAAAUGCGUAGAUAUCAGGAAGAACAUCGGUGGCGAAGGCGCUCUGCUGGACCAUAACUGACACUCAGGGACGAAAGCUAGGGGAGCGAAUGGG
rnacentral:rRNA from 1 species